AUGAAAAUAGACUAUGAAUCAAUGGGCAGAAUUCAAUGGGAUGGCUUCUGCACGUAUUUGCAGCUAGAGUAUUCAGAGCAAGUGGAUGCUUUGGCCCAAGAGAAAGAGGUUUCCUUCCAGCUGCCUGCUGCGCUGCAAGGGCUGUCAUAUGGGGGUCCCGUGCUGCGCAUUCUCUCUAUGCCUGACGACACCGUAAUCAUGAUCAGAGAAGAUGGAGCGAUUUAUUUCUGGUCCCUGCAGCUGAAGUUGAAAAGAAGAAAGAGAGUUUUUGACAAGUCCAUGAGUUGGAAGCCCAGGUCGAUGACAGAUGUCAUCGGCAUGCCACAGUACAACAAACUGAUCAUAGGGACUAGAAACCGUGAAAUCCAGCUAUGUGAAUUCUCCAACUGGGAGCCUUACUGUCAGAUCAGUGGCUUAGAAGGUGUUCCUCUGAAACUGGACUACUGAACGUGGAAGAAGCUGCCCAAAAUUGAGAACAUGCCAAACAUUAACAUUAAUAACGCUGUGACCUCUCCAAAUGUAAACUAUAUUCGCUGGAAAGUGCAUAGAGACUGGAUUACUCAGGUAAAACAAAGGAAAAAAUAAAGGAAGGAAAUAGAAAAGAAAAAGAAAGAAGAAAGAAAAGAAAGAAAGAAAGAAAGAAAGAAAGAAAGAAAGAAAGAGAAAAAGAAAAGAAAAGAAAAGAGAGGGAGGGAGGGAGGGAAGGGGAAAAGAAAAGAAAGAAAUGUUAAAUGAAAGUAAAUUGGGAUCUGCCAGACUGAUGUAUCUCUCCAGGUAUAUCAGCCAAACAGCAUAUAUAUAUUGUUUAAUGAGUGACCACUAUUCCCAAGGUAACUUUAUUAACUAAGCUGAAAACAAAUAAAAAUAAAUGUUGCAUGAAAUACCCAGAAUAGUACAAAGAAUGAUAAACAUCUAGUUUCUAGAAGCUAGUGAGACUGAUCAGUUUGAACUCCUGGCAUGCUUGUUUUGGGGUUCCCAUUCAUCAUCAUUUGGAUCUGAAGACAAUAGGUGUGAUUCCCUUUCUCUUUUUGUUUAGGGCCAGUAAUAUGACUUUAGACCUGAGAGUCCUUUCCCUGAAAUUUUACUGGCUCUGAGAAGCUAAAUUAGUGUUUCUUAAACACAAAAGCAAGCAAGAUAGUGUUCUUUAUGUUAAGGCAGCACAGAAACCCAAUACAGAGUGGACACUUCCUGAGGAUUAGAGAGAGAAGGGUUUUCAGGGUUGAUAGAACACCAGGUAGGGGAGGAGAGACUCCUGCCAACAUCUUUUGUCUAUUCCUAAACACAUCGGGCUUAAGGCAAGAAAAGAAAAUAUUAGUGGGUGAAAGGAAAACUAGGAAAACAACCAAAUUUAUUUGCUAAGUGAAAAGGAAAAUUCAAGGGGAAGAAAAAUUGGACCAAGAACAUAGCAUUUGUCUAAAAGAUGAACACUGACCAAGUUUCAAACACAAGAAAAAGAAAAUAAAAUACCAAUUCUGGAGUAGAAAGGAAAUGAGAAUCAAGUAAGAAUAUAAAAACAAAACAAUCCAACUAAACAGCCACAUGUAAAAUUGCCGUAUGUAAUACCUAUUAUUUUUCAAAGGUGAUUGGUUACAAGACCCUUACUUUCUUAAACUUUUCUGAGGUAGCUGCAUAUCAUAAAUUUAUGCAUCUUGAGUGUACAAUUAAUGAUUGUUGAUAAGUUUACUGGGUUAUUCAAUUAUCACUGUAAUGCAGUUUAAGAACAUUUCCAUUACCCCAAUAAGACCUCUGUUAACCACGUAGAGUUAAUCAUCAUUCCCACCCCCAGUGCCAGGCAACCACUAAUCUACUUUCUAUAUCUAUUGAUUUGCCUUUUCUCUCCAUGUCAUGUAAAUAAAAUCAUAUAUUAUGUGGCCUUUUGUGCCUGGCUUCUUCUACUUGGACAUUUUGUCCCACUGAAUUGCCAGCCCUCAUUGCCUUGGAAGGUGAAAAGAACAAUACCAAAAUCUAGAGUCAGUGCCAUCCAAGGGAUGACCACACAAGGAGAGGUGGGGUUGGGGGGGGGGUGGUAAACAAAGCCGGGCAUUGGCAUUGGCCAUGUAAAAAGGGGGCUAACAGAGAGGGGCUAUACCAGAGAAUUCCCCAUCACCCCAGGGGUGUGUUCCUGGAGUCCCCAUUUGGAAGUCUGCCACAUGAGCCAGCUUGAGGGAGCCCAUUUCAAUAGAGAAAACACAGAGACAGUUUUGAGGUUGCUCAGGGCACUGGAUCCUGCUCUGCUGGAUCAGGCCUCAAGCUCCAGAAACCCUGUCUCCUCUCCCAACCCCACCCCCCCACCCCACCCCCGCCCCUGCCCCACAGGCUUACUCUUUGUCUUCCUGUGUCUCUGGUUCUCUGGUUUCUGCCCUCCUUGAGGGUUAGAACUAAGGGUUAUCAUCUGGGCAUGCCCCUCUGAACCUAGCAUAGUGCCUGGAAGGUCUAAAAGAGAAACCAAUCAUUUCUUGUAGCUAAUAUGUUGCUCUUUUAACACUACUAUGGCCUUAUCCAUUUUACAUGUUUUAUAUUCUUCAAUUUUUUUUUUUUUUUUUAAUGAUAGUCUCACAGAGAGAGAGAGAGAGAGGCAGAGACACAGGAGGAGGGAGAAGCAGGCUCCAUGCACCGGGAGCCCGACGUGGGAUUCGAUCCCGGGUCUCCAGGACCGCGCCCCGGGCCAAAGGCAGGCGCUAAACCGCCGCGCCACCCAGGGAUCCCACAUGUUUUAUAUUCUUAAUAAGGACUUCCUCCAGGGAAGAAGUGUUCCAAGAUCAGAAAAACUCCUCAAAUCCCACCAACCCCUGUUCCUCGAACCUGAGACCAGCCCUGGCACCAGCCCGAAGAUCCUGGUUCCCUAAUCCUGGCACAUCUGCUGCUUCAGAGCCUGGCUCUUGAUUUUUAA
rnacentral:lncRNA from 1 species